ACGAAAACAAAUUAGAUUAAAUUCUUUUCAGACCCGAGUAAUUGAUGUAAUCUCGAUAAUACGCUGUGAUCAGUGUUUAUAUUAUUUUAUGUCAUUUGGAAAAUUGACUUAAUAAAACAAGAAGUAUGUGGAACCAUAAAUUAGUCCUGUCAAUACGAUGGAUUAGUGUAGCCAUUUGUUCCGCACCGUCAUCUCUGGGGCUUUAUGAUUCGGGCAAACGAUGCUGGUUACUUCGUGUUUCGUUAUUGGAUCAGUGGAGUCAGCCCACGCGACCGGCCCUUUCUCGAGGUCUACUGCUGUGCGCUACCGGUUUGGAGUUAGGGUUAUUUAUCGUCGGCCGUGGAUUGACGGAGAAGGCAGAUGGCGGUCCACAACGGCUGCUGGGUCCUUCUCGGCUAGUACAACGGUGGCAAGUGAGCUCUCGUAUUCGCUUAAUUCCUCUUUCUCUCUUGCUAACUCGAUUCCUUGCAUUUAUCUUUAGAUCUUUUGUUGCCGGAAUCGUCCGUGCUCGAUCCGGAUCCCGGCCAUUGUUAUCAGUUGUGGGAAUCGUUUCGUUCCUGUGUUUCCUACCUUUACCGCUGAAAUCUUGGUGAAAUGAUGCAACUUAGCUUAAUUCUCCAACUCCGAUUAGACUUCCACCAUUUCGGCCCAUGGCGGAUCUUGAAUCACGAUACAUGACAUUGAAUAAAAACAAUUGAAAGACUUCGAGAAGCGAGAAUAAUGUUGCAGCCAACUUUCUCAAGAUCAAACUUAUGCUGCGGAUGGAUCUGUAUAAUUUUUGGCGUCAUUUCAUUUGUGGUAUUUUGUUAUGCUGCAAUAAUAUCCAAGCUUCUUUCAGAAUCAAGAAGUCCGAUAUUAUUUUCCAUUCAAAAUGACUGGUACUAUUGCUUUCUGGUUCCCCUUACACUACCUGUAAUGAUCAUUUUGGUAUAUUUGCAUUGGCUUAGUAUGAAGCUCUUUAAACAUGCGUGAAAAACUCCUUGUUUUCUGCCGCCACUGCAAUAAGUUGCAUACUUUUUGCCCCAAGGCUGGUUUCCCCCCAGAUUUCUAGUUGGACUAAGCAUAUUUCAAAACCAGUGGAGAUUCCUUGGUGAUGCGUGUGGACAUUUACCUUUCAGAGAAAUUGCUGUGAUGUUGAUCUAUUCUACAAAAUGUUACAGGAGGUUGUCAUUUUCAUUAGAGCUUCUAUCGUGCAGAGGUUGAUGAAAAGAACGUAUUUAGUUUGAUUCACCUUACUCUCUCACAUUAUACAAAGAUGCACAACCCCAUUAUUAAUCAGCAACUGGUUCAUUGGUAAAUAUUUGAUUUAAUAUAAUCAUGUGUAUAUGCGAUUGUACUUCUUAUGUUGUAAAGAUGGAUUUGUCAUA